rnacentral:rRNA from 1 species
GUCCACGCCGUAAACGUUGGGAACUAGAUGUAGGGACCAUUCCACGGUUUCUGUGUCGCAGCUAACGCAUUAAGUUCCCCGCCUGGGGAGUACGGUCGCAAGACUAAAACUCAAAGGAAUUGACGGGGGCCCGCACAAGCGGCGGAGCAUGCGGAUUAAUUCGAUGCAACGCGAAGAACCUUACCAAGGCUUGACAUAUAGAGGAAACGUGCAGAAAUGUACGCCCCGCAAGGUCUCUAUACAGGUGGUGCAUGGUUGUCGU